rnacentral:rRNA from 1 species
CCUACGUGUGGCAGCAGUGAGGAAUAUUGGUCAAUGGACGGGAGUCUGAACCAGCCAUGCCGCGUGAAGGCCGACUGCUCUAUGAGUUGUAAACUUCUUUUAUACAUGAAUAAACCUGAUUACGUGUAUUCAGCUGAAAGUACUGUACGAAUAAGUAUCGGCUAACUCCGUGCCAGCAGCCGCGGUAAUCCGGAGGAUCCAAGCGUUCUCCGGAUUUAUUGGGUUCAAGGGGUGCGAAGGCGGAUUGAUAAGUUAGGUGUGAAAUGUUCGAGCUUAACUCGGGAACUGCAGCUAAUACUGUCGAUCUUGAGAGUAGAUGCGGUAGGCGGAAUGUAUGGUGUAGCGGUGAAAUGCUGAGAGAUCACACAGAACACCGAUUGCGAAGGCAGCUUACCAAGCU